rnacentral:lncRNA from 1 species
CAUAGUGGAAUAUGUAAAAGCUCCCAAAACCUUUUUGUGAAAAAACACUUCGAAAUUUGAUCUUCGGAUUUUAUUAAAGAAAAAUCAUCCUGAGAUCCUAAUAUAUGAUAAAGGAAAGGAUUCAUGAAUCUAAUAAAGGAAAACAUAUUUUUUUCAUACCUUUGCAUAGGGAGAUGAACUCCGUAACUAAUGAUCAUGGAA